rnacentral:rRNA from 1 species
UACGGAAGGGGCUAGCCUUGUUCGGAAUUACUGGGCGUAAAGAGGGCGUAGGCGGCUUACCAAGUUGGGGGUGAAAUCCCGGAGCUCAACUCCGGAACUGCCUUCAAAACUGGUAGGCUCGAGUCCGGAAGAGGGGCGUGGAAUUCCCAGUGUAGAGGUGAAAUUCGUAGAUAUUGGGAAGAACACCGGUGGCGAAGGCGGCGCCCUGGUCCGGUACUGACGCUGAGGCGAGAAAGCGUGGGGAGCAAACAGG